GGAUGAACCAUGCAUCACGUAAAAUUCAGAAAGAAAGUAAGUGUCCAACCUACUGCAACUGUCACAAGAGGGCUUCUGCUAUGCAAUUGUAGUUGCAGAUAUCUAUGCCCUCAUGUGAUGACAGUAGGCUUUUCUCUUCCGGUGAAGUCCUUUAGCUUUGAUAUAGAAAGCGCGAGAUCUAUCAACGGUUUCAAUGCAAUUUGAGCAUCCAUGUCGUGUUUGGAAACAUCCGGCUCAAACUGUUCGAUAUAUAUUCUGACUGUUGCUCCAGCAGAGCCAGUACCCGAUAGUCGAAAGAUGAUCCGUGAUCCAUCACUAAAAACAAAGCGAACCCCCUGUUUGGAUGCAAUACUUCCAUCGACAGGAUCAGUAUAGGCGAAGUCAUCAGCAAAAUCUAGGCUAUAACUUCCAUACUUAUCACCAGCCUUGCUUUUAGAAAUCAAAUCCCGAAGAUGCUCGAUCAUGUUAUUUGCUCCUUCUGAUUCACAUUCCUCAUAGUCAUAUCUCGAAAAGAAGUUCCUUCCAUAGGUGGCCCAAUGCUCCUUCACAACAUCAGCAACAGAAACCAAUAUCUCCCCUGAUCUUUUGUCCUUGUUCCGAUAUGCAAGUAUUGAAAGCCAAGCUAAAACAGCCCAUAUACCAUCUUUUUCACGGAUGUGGUCAGAACCAGUCCCAAAACUUUCUUCGCCACAGAUAGACAAUUUUCCAGCAUCCAUUAGAUUACCAAAGAAUUUCCAACCAGUUGGCACCUCAAAAAAGGGGAGGUUUAGCUUUUGGGCAACGCGAUCUAGAGAACCGCUAGUGGGCAUUGAUCGAGCCAAACCCUUAGGCCCGGACUGGAAAUAUGGAAUAGCAUCUUGGGCAUUGGCAGCAAUAAUUGCAACAGAAUCAGAUGGAGUAACAAAAAAGCUUCUUCCAAGAAUCAUGUUUCUAUCACCAUCUCCAUCACUUGCAGCACCAAAGUCUGGUCCAUUCUCUCCAUACAGGAUAUUCACCAAAUCCUCAGCAUACGUAAGGU
rnacentral:misc_RNA from 1 species